UACGGGGGGGGCAAGCGUUGUUCGGAAUUACUGGGCGUAAAGGGCUCGUAGGCGGCCAACUAAGUCAGACGUGAAAUCCCUCGGCUUAACCGGGGAACUGCGUCUGAUACUGGUUGGCUUGAAUCCGGGAGAGGGAUGUGGAAUUCCAGGUGUAGCGGUGAAAUGCGCAGAUAUCAGGAGGAACACCGGUGGCGAAGGCGGGUCUCUGGGCCGAAACUGACGCUGAGGAGCGAAAGCGUGGGGAGCGAACAGG
rnacentral:rRNA from 1 species